UACGUAGGGUGCAAGCGUUAAUCGGAAUUACUGGGCGUAAAGCGUGCGCAGGCGGCUUUGCAAGACAGAUGUGAAAUCCCCGGGCUUAACCUGGGAACUGACAUUUGUGACUGCAUGGCUCGAGUACGGUAGAGGGGAUGGAAUUCCGGCGUGUAGCAGUGAAAAUGCGUAGAUAUGCGGAGGAACACCGAUGGCGAAAGGCAGUCCCUGGACCUGUACUGACGCUCAUGCACGAAAGCGUGGGGAGCAAACGAGGAUUAGAAAACCCGU
rnacentral:rRNA from 1 species